GACGAACGCUGGCGGCGUGCCUGACACAUGCAAGUCGGACGGUUCUUGUACCUUCAAGCUUGCUUGUUGGUGCAAGGAUAGUGGCGGACGGGUGAGUAACGCGUGAACAUCUACCCAUUGGAGGGGGACAACCCGUCGAAAGGCGGGCUAAUACCGCGUAAGCCGCGAGGUGAGAGGCUGCCUAUUGGUGGCCGCCGAUGGAUGGGUUCGCGUCCUAUCAGCUGGUUGGUGGGGUAACGGCCUACCAAGGCGAAGACGGGUAGCCGGUCUGAGAGGAUGGCCGGCCACACUGGAACUGAGACACGGUCCAGACUCCUACGGGAGGCAGCAGUGAGGAAUAUUGCGCAAUGGGGGCAACCCUGACGCAGUGACGCCGCGUGAGUGAUGAAGGCUUUCGAGUCGUAAAGCUCUGUUAGGUGGAAAGAAACAUCCCGGCGCUAAUAUCGUCGGGACUUGACGGUACCACCAGAGGAAGCACCGGCUAACUCCGUGCCAGCAGCCGAC
rnacentral:rRNA from 1 species